rnacentral:rRNA from 1 species
CAGCAGCCGCGGGAAUACGAAGGGUGCAAGCGUUACUCGGAAUUACUGGGCGUAAAGCGUGCGUAGGUGGUGGUUUAAGUCCGUUGUGAAAUCCCCGGGCUCAACCUGGGAAUGGCAAUGGAUACUGGCAAGCUAGAGUGUGUCAGAGGAUGGUGGAAUUCCCGGUGUAGCGGUGAAAUGCGUAGAGAUCGGGAGGAACAUCAGUGGCGAAGGCGGCCAUCUGGGACAACACUGACGCUGAGGCACGAAAGCGUGGGGAGCAAACAGGAUUAGAUACCCCAGUAGUCCCUGUCUCUUAUAA